GAUCCUAGGUGUCAGGGGUAUCGACUCCUCUGGUGCCGUCGCUAACGCAAUAAGUAUCCCGCCUGGGGAGUACGGCCGCAAGGUUGAAACUCAAAGGAAUUGACGGGGGCCCGCACAAGCGGUGGAGCAUGUUGUUUAAUACGUCGCAAACCGUAGAACCUUCGAGAGAAGGAGGCAGGUGUCGACAUGAGUUGAUGUGACUGGGGCGAAGUCGUAACAAGGUAACCGUA
rnacentral:rRNA from 1 species